rnacentral:rRNA from 1 species
GAUGAACGCUGGCGGCGUGCCUAAUACAUGCAAGUCGAGCGAACGGACGAGAAGCUUGCUUCUCUGAUGUUAGCGGCGGACGGGAGUGUAACACGUGGAUACCCUACCUAUCAUACUGGGAUAACUUCGGGACACCGGCGCUAAUACCGGAUAAUCUUUUGAACCGUAUGGUUCAAAAGUGAAAGUCGGUCUUGCUGUCACUUAUCGAUGGAUACGCGCUGCAUUAGCUAGUUGGUAAGUUAACGGCCUACGAAGGCAACGAUGCAUAGCCGACGUGAGAGAGGGGUCGGCCACACGAGAGCUUAGACGCGGACCAGACGCCUGCGAGAGGGAGCAGUAUGGUAUGGUCCGCAAUGGUCGAAAGCCUUACGGAGUGAGGCCGCGUGAGUGAUGGAGGUCUUCGGUGCGGGAAACUCUGUUACGAGUUGAGAACAUAUGUGGAAGGAAAUGUGCACAGAGUGACGGUAACGAGUCAGAAAGCCACGGCUAACUACGUG